UGGAGGCAGGGCGUCCAAGUCUUAUGCCCUCUCUUGAGCAGCUUUUGUGAUCCUGCUAGGGGUUCCACUCCACAGCACGAGAACCACAGUCCUACCCAGAGAGCUCUAGGAUCUAACUGUGGACAUUAUUUCUCCAUCAACAGAAAAUGGAAGUGUCUCUCUCACAGAAGGACAGGAGAACAUUUGAGAGUGUCAGAUCCAAUUAGAAAUCAUGAUUGGAUACACAGGUUCUCCAGGAGAGUAAGGAAGACUGCCUUCUCCAAGACAAACUGAGUAACAUAUUUCCUUCUUGCAAUCUUCUGAGACAAGUGUCCUGUUCUUCACCAAAAUCAAUACCACCAUUGAAUAUCAGCAGAUGAUACAUUAAAAUAAGAGGAGAGAGCAGCUGCAGAAGGGCAAUGUUUCCUUCAGACUCAGUACUUGAAGACAUAUGCCCACAGAACAACAACUGCAUUUGGAAAUGAACACUAGCAGAGCAGUAACUUCAGAGGUUCCAGUAUUCUCGUAUUGAAUUAUUAUUCUGAAUCUGAAGUGCUGGAAGAUGUAGAUUUUCUAAUAUAACUGAGCUAUGCUCAAAGACAGUCAGAGUGGAGUACUUCUCUUCUCUGCUGUUACGCUUUCUUCAGCACCAAACAAGCAACUCAGGACGAUUUCCAUGUCACCAAAGCUGGAUUUAGUGGCAUGGGAAAAAGCUGAUAUGGGAGCAAUCACUUCCUUCUGGACCUACCAAAUCCCAUGAUUUCUUCAACAGAACAUCACCAUUAGAUAUUCUAUUUUAUUGAUUCACAGUGAUAUGUGUGUUUAUCUUAAAAAAAAUAUU